ACCUACGGGGGGCAGCAGUGGGGAAUAUUGGGCAAUGGGCGCAAGCCUGACCCAGCAACGCCGCGUGAAGGAAGAAGGCUUUCGGGUUGUAAACUUCUUUUGUCAGGGACGAAGCAAGUGACGGUACCUGACGAAUAAGCCACGGCUAACUACGUGCCAGCAGCCGCGGGAAUACGUAGGUGGCAAGCGUUAUCCGGAUUUAUUCGGUGUAAAGGGCGUGUAGGCGGGAAUGCCAGUCAGAUGUGAAAAC
rnacentral:rRNA from 1 species